UACGUAGGGGGCAAGCGUUGUCCGGAAUCACUGGGCUUAAAGCGCACGUAGGCGGCUUGGUAUGUCGGGUGUGAAAUCCCCGGGCUCAACCUGGGAACUGCAUCCGAAACUGCCUUGCUCGAGUAUGGGAGAGGGAAGCGGAAUUCCCGGUGUAGUGGUGAAAUGCGUAGAUAUCGGGAGGAACACCAGUGGCGAAGGCGGCUUCUUGGCCCGUUCUUGACGCUGAGGCGCGAAAGCUAGGGUAGCAAA
rnacentral:rRNA from 1 species